GCCUACGGGAGGCAGCAGUGGGGAAUAUUGCACAAUGGGGGAAACCCUGAUGCAGCGACGCCGCGUGAGCGAUGAAGUAUUUCGGUAUGUAAAGCUCUAUCAGCAGGGAAGAAAAUGACGGUACCUGACUAAGAAGCCCCGGCUAACUACGUGCCAGCAGCCGCGGUAAUACGUAGGGGGCAAGCGUUAUCCGGAUUUACUGGGUGUAAAGGGGGCGCAGACGGCGAUGCAAGCCAGGAGUGAAAGCCCGGGGCCAACCCCGGGACUGCUCUUGGAACUGCGUGGCUAGAGUGCAGGAGGGGCAG
rnacentral:rRNA from 1 species